UGGGGAAUUUUGGACAAUGGGCGAAAGCCUGAUCCAGCAAUGCCGCGUGUGUGAAGAAGGCCUUCGGGUUGUAAAGCACUUUUGUCCGGAAAGAAAUCCUUGGCUCUAAUACAGUCGGGGGAUGACGGUACCGGAAGAAUAAGCACCGGCUAACUACGUGCCAGCAGCCGCGGUAAUACGUAGGGUGCAAGCGUUAAUCGGAAUUACUGGGCGUAAAGCGUGCGCAGGCGGUUUGCUAAGACCGAUGUGAAAUCCCCGGGCUCAACCUGGGAACUGCAUUGGUGACUGGCAGGCUAGAGUAUGGCAGAGGGGGGUAGAAUUCCACGUGUAGCAGUGAAAUGCGUAGAGAUGUGGAGGAAUACCGAUGGCGAAGGCAGCCCCCUGGGCCAAUACCGACGCUCAUGCACGAAAGCGUGGGGAGCAAACAGGAUUAGAUACCCUGGUAGUCCACGCCCUAAACGAUGUCAACUAGUUGUUGGGGAUUCAUUCCUUAGUAACGUAGCUAACGCGUGAAGUUGACCGCCUGGGGAGUACGGUCGCAAGAUUAAAACUCAAUGAAUUGACGGGGUCAUAGCUGUUUCCU
rnacentral:rRNA from 1 species